GGGCGUAGCCCGUGUUAAUCCCUAGUUAGGUUAAAUAGAAAGAAACGUCGCUUAAUUAGGAGUUAGAAGAGACGGUCUUUUGAGACACGUGUUGACUAAAUAGCGUUCAUCUCUUUCUCUCUUCCCACUCUGUGUCUCUCUCCCUCUCGUCGACUAUUCUCCAAAAUCUCUCAGACAAUACUCGAUGGCGACGAUUCCUCCCCAAUUCUUCAGAGCAAGUCAAAUAUAUUUCUUCUGUGUGUUAGAUUAUGGACGGAGGAGGUGGCGACGGUGGUGGUGCCGCGUACAACUCACACACGGUGGGGGAGGUUUUAGGGAUUUUAAGGGUCGUAGGAAUGGCAUGAUUAAGGCUCUAACCACUGGUAAUAUUUGGUCACUCGCUCUUCGUUUUGAUUCUUCUUCUUCCUCCAUUGUCGUUAAAAAUCUCAACUUUUUUAUUGUGUGUGUGUGUGUUUGGCUCUGUUUUGCUGAGUGUUGAAUGAUGCAUUAGGGGUUUUGAUAGUUUCUCUGAAUUAUGAGCAAUAAAGGAGUAAAGUUUUGUUUUUUGUUUGUGGGAUUGAUUUCCUCCGAUGAAAGUCUUUGCUUUUUCUGUUUGAGUUGUCUUCCUUGUGCUCUGCUUCUCUGAGUUCUCCUUGAAGGCGGAGUAAAGUUUAGAUUUUUGAAUAUUGAUUUUCAAAAUAAUGUCGUUCUGUGUGAAAUCUAGUUUGGUAGUGUCACAAGUUCUUGAUGAGCAGAAGCUGUGUCAGAUACGAAGAAAGCUAUUGAGUUGGAUCCUGCAUUGGCCAAAGCUUACUUAAGAAAAAGAUGAAUUGGCCACUAGAGGUUGUGGCUUUGUUUCCUCAGCUACUUGGAUACAGCAUGGAGAAGGGAUUGUGCCUAGGUGUAACGUAAUCAAAGCUCUCAUCGCCAAAGGGUUGCUUGGAAGUGAACCCCUUUCGAUUCCAUGUGUCUUGACAUAUACCAAUGAAGCCUUCUUAAAAAGGUAUGUGAUGAAGCACGAUGAUAAGCAGCUUGUGACUUAGUUAUUAGCCAUCUUCAUGACAGAUAGUAAUAAAAUAGAUUAGAAAAGAUAUAUGUUAGUGUUAUCUUCAGGUUGGCAUCGUACGGUUGUAAUUAUAACGCUUGGUUUAUCGGUUUCAUCAGAAAGAAACAUUUGUUAUGUU